UGCAGCUUUCACACCUCGACUGUUUCUCUCCUUUUCUGUUUCAGGAUUUCAUCUCCAUUGAACAUCGCAGAACAAAAUAUGGAUUCUUCAGAUUAUAUUUACAUGAUGAUCUGGAUUAACGUCCGUCUCUGCCUCCCGUUCACGUUGAUCGUUUUUGCUCUGGGUUGUGUGGUGAGGUUGGACGGUUUUCCUGUCACCUUCUACAUGAACCUUCUUGUCUCCAACCUGAUCCAGCUCGCCGGUUUGGUUGCUUUAAUGGUGAAGAUAAAUGAAAAUAAUUUCCAUCCAAUCUGCUUCGUUGCCCUCGGCUGUGGAGCUUUGGCCAGUAUUUGCUUCAGGACCGUCUUUGCUCUGGAACGGUAGCAGCACACCCGUCUUCUUUGUCUGUCUGAUGUUUAAUACGUCAGGGCUCCGUUUCUGUGCAGCAGUCUGACCGGCGUCUCUCCGUUUCAGGUAUUUUCUCAUCUCCUGGCCAGAGCUGCACUUCAUCAGACAGACCAAAGGUUACGUGAUAUUCUGUGUGUUGAUCUGGCUGUUUGCCAUUUUUCUUUUUCCUCUUUUCAUGAUGUUUUCACAGUAUAUAUUCUUUGUGCUGUUCCCCCUGAUUCCCACCCCCGUGUUCAUCUUCUGUGUGGCUCGGACCCCAAAAUUCCUGCCUGCAGCCACUUCCCUAACCACAGGAGAAAAACGUAGAAUCGUGGCAGCUUUGAUGCUGUUGCUGAUUGUUCACAUAUGCAUGAUCCUCCCGCUGAGUCUGUCUUAUAUUAAUUCAUAUUUUCGUGGAUCAUACGUGAAAUAUAACAGCUCACUGGUCUUGUUUCUCUUCAGUCCCUUCAUGGAUUUGAUCCUGUUUGUUUUCAUGUGUGAAGGUUUAGUUGACAAGCUGCUGAUGUGUUUCAGCUGCCACAGCUGCAGCAGAUGAAACACAUCAAGAUCAGUUUAUAUCAAUGUGCUUAAUUGUUUUAAACUUAGCAUGAAAAGUAAGGAAAUGUGUGUUUGAUGGAUUUUUUUGCCUCAGAAAUAAAUCUUGUGUUGGGAAGUCUGUUUGUUUCAUUUCGUCUGGGUUGUGAUUGUGUGUUGAGCUGCAGAAACUCUGUGACUUUUAGGUAAAAUAAGAUAUUCUGUCCCACCUUGAUGCUGAAAAAGACCAAGUAUUUGUUACUUCAACACUGGAGUCAGAAAAAUGUUAAAUGCAUUUUGCUUUCCAAAGUGCUACAAUGGGAGUUUUGAUGUCAAUCAAAAGUAAAUGAUAUUUCUGUUU